GACCUCUUGGCUCAGUGGUAGAGCAUCUGAUUCCAGAAUUUAACGCGGCUUCCAGAAGGUCGUCCGUUCGAUCCGGGCAGAGGUCA